rnacentral:rRNA from 1 species
UACGGGGGGGGCAAGCGUUGUUCGGAAUUACUGGGCGUAAAGGGCUCGUAGGUGGCCAACUAAGUCAGACGUGAAAUCCCUCGGCUUAACCGGGGAACUGCGUCUGAUACUGGAUGGCUUGAGUUUGGGAGAGGGAUGCGGAAUUCCAGGUGUAGCGGUGAAAUGCGUAGAUAUCUGGAGGAACACCGGUGGCGAAGGCGGGUCUCUGGGCCGUAACUGACGCUGAGGAGCGAAAGCAUGGGGAGCGAACAGG